rnacentral:rRNA from 1 species
UACGGAGGAUGCGAGCGUUAUCCGGAUUUAUUGGGUUUAAAGGGUGCGUAGGCUGGUAAUUAAGUCAGUGGUGAAAUACUCCGGCUCAACCGGGGGGCUGCCGUUGAUACUGGUUACCUUGAGUUUAGAUGAUGUGGGCGGAAUGUGUCAUGUAGCGGUGAAAUGCAUAGAGAUGACACAGAACACCGAUAGCGAAGGCAGCUCACAAAGCUAUUACUGACGCUGAUGCACGAAAGCGUGGGGAUCAAACAGGAUUA